GGAUGUAUAGCUCAGUGGUAGAGCACAUGAUCCUGGGUUCAAUCCCCAGUACCUCUA
rnacentral:tRNA from 1 species